GCGGGAUUAGUUUAAUGGUAAAAUAUUUGUUUUCCAAACAAAUGUCAGGAGUUCGAUUCUCCUAUCCCGCA
rnacentral:tRNA from 3 species